rnacentral:rRNA from 1 species
GAUGAACGCUGGCGGCGUGCCUAAUACAUGCAAGUCGAGCGAACUGAUUAGAAGCUUGCUUCUAUGACGUUAGCGGCGGACGGGUGAGUAACACGUGGGCAACCUGCCUGUAAGACUGGGAUAACUUCGGGAAACCGAAGCUAAUACCGGAUAGGAUCUUCUCCUUCAUGGGAGAUGAUUGAAAGAUGGUUUCGGCUAUCACUUACAGAUGGGCCCGCGGUGCAUUAGCUAGUUGGUGAGGUAACGGCUCACCAAGGCAACGAUGCAUAGCCGACCUGGGAGGGUGAUCGGCCACACUGGGACUGAGACACGGCCCAGACUCCUACGGGAGGCAGCAGUAGGGAAUCUUCCGCAAUGGACGAAAGUCUGACGGAGCAACGCCGCGUGAGUGAUGAAGGCUUUCGGGUCGUAAAACUCUGUUGUUAGGGAAGAACAAGUACAAGAGUAACUGCUUGUACCUUGACGGUACCUAACCAGAAAGCCACGGCUAACUACGUGCCAGCCGCCGCAGUAAGAC